AUUGAACGCUGGCGGCAUGCCUUACACAUGCAAGUCGAACGGCAGCAUGAUCUAGCUUGCUAGAUUGAUGGCGAGUGGCGAACGGGUGAGUAAUACAUCGGAACGUGCCCUGUAGUGGGGGAUAACUAGUCGAAAGAUUAGCUAAUACCGCAUACGACCUGAGGGUGAAAGUGGGGGACCGCAAGGCCUCAUGCUAUAGGAGCGGCCGAUGUCUGAUUAGCUAGUUGGUGAGGUAAAGGCUCACCAAGGCGACGAUCAGUAGCUGGUCUGAGAGGACGAUCAGCCACACUGGGACUGAGACACGGCCCAGACUCCUACGGGAGGCAGCAGUGGGGAACUUUGGACAAAGGGGGCAACCCUGAUCCAGCAAUGCCGCGUGUGUGAAGAAGGCCUUCGGGUUGUAAAGCACUUUUGUCCGGAAAGAAAUCGCACUUACUAAUAUUAGGUGUGGAUGACGGUACCGGAAGAAUAAGGACCGGCUAACUACGUGCCAGCAGCCGCCGUAACAC
rnacentral:rRNA from 1 species